rnacentral:lncRNA from 1 species
GAGGAAGGAGAUGGGCACUGCCCAAUCAGAAAUGAGGAGAAAGGGAUAGUGACGAAUAGGAGAGAAGAACCAGGAGGGAAAGGAGAGAAGAAGAAAAGGAGGGAACCCAAAACUGGUCUUCCUUGACUAGUAUGACCCUGCCAACGGGAACCAUAGAAACCGAUGGUUUCCCGGCCAAAUUUCGGUGAUUUAAGCCAAACCAUCACCUAGAAACACCUCCCUAGCCUUCUCUCUACCAUUUCUACCCCUAAAUUCAUACAAUUUGACCUUAGAUUCGGGAGAAAUGCACCGGUGGUGCGUGUG